GGGGGCGGGCGGCUACCUGCAGUCGACGGGACCGGGGGCAACUCCGGUUCAGCGGCGGACGGGUGCGUAACACGUGAGGAACAUGACCUUCGGCGGGGGAUAGCCGGCCCAACGGCCGGGUAAUACCGCGUACGACCUUUCGGGGACAUCCCUGGAUGGUGAAAGCAGCAAUGCGCCGAUGGAGUGCCUCGCGGCCUAUCAGCUGGUUGGUGGGGUAACGGCCUACCAAGGCGACGACGGGUAGCUGGUCUGAGAGGAUGGCCAGCCACAUUGGGACUGAGACACGGCCCAGACUCCUACGGGAGGCAGCAGUAGGGAAUCUUCCGCAAUGGACGAAAGUCUGACGGAGCAACGCCGCGUGAACGAUGAAGGCUUUCGGGUCGUAAAGUUCUGUUGUUAGGGAAGAACAAGUACCAGAGUAACUGCUGGUACCUUGACGGUACCUAACCAGAAAGCCACGGCUAACUACGUGCCAGCAGCCGCGGUAAUACGUAGGUGGCAAGCGUUAUCCGGAAUUAUUGGGCGUAAAGCGCUCGCAGGCGGUCUUUUAAGUCUGAUGUGAAAGCCCACGGCUCAACCGUGGAGGGUCAUUGGAAACUGGGAGACUUGAGUGCAGAAGAGGAGAGUGGAAUUCCACGUGUAGCGGUGAAAUGCGUAGAGAUGUGGAGGAACACCAGUGGCGAAGGCGACUCUCUGGUCUGUAACUGACGCUGAGGAGCGAAAGCGUGGGGAGCGAACAGGAUUAGAUACCCUGGUAGUCCACGCCGUANACGAUGAGUGCUAAGUGUUAGAGGGUUUCCGCCCUUUAGUGCUGCAGCAAACGCAUUAAGCACUCCGCCUGGGGAGUACG
rnacentral:rRNA from 1 species